ensembl:miRNA
UAUUAGGUUGGUGCAAAAGUAAUUGCAGUUUUUGCCAUUACUUUCAAUGGCAAAAACUGCAAUUACUUUUGCACCAACUUAAUAU